rnacentral:lncRNA from 1 species
UCCAUUCCUGCUAACGCAUUCAAAACCACCAACUAUAUUUCUAAAAACGGUUAGGGGCCUUUAUUUCCCACUGAUCGAAGCAAUAAAACAAAAAUUGAAGAUCCAUGGAUCAAUUACUAAGUCAUGUUAAUUUCUUUGGAGUUUCCAUUUUUAAAGCUCUGCAAGUUGGUUUGAAUGAUAGUUUGAUGUUGAAAUAAGUAUCUUUAAUGCAUGUAUGUUCAGUUAUCUUGUCGCAUUUGAUGGAGUGUGCCAUCUUUUUAAGCUCUCACGUUUUAUUGCUCUUGUCAAAUUGAAGUCAUAUGGAAAUUUGAUGCGUCAUGUUAACAUGUUAGGUGUUUGCUGGAUCACUGGAUUUCCAGGAUCUAAUUUACAUAAGAGUGUUUUUGGGAAUUUGAUUCAAACAAAUGACAAUUGGCUUGAUUAUGCAGAGGAUAGGUUUAGUUAGGUUUAAAAGAAUUAAGAUUUCAGUAGCUGAAGAUUGUUGUUUGAUCCCCAGGUAUUAUAUCUUAAUAUGGUGUCUUUGUUUAGUGUUAUGUAGAGAUUCACGGACUGGAUUUAUCGAGACUUUACAAGGUCCAACUCCAAGUUGGAUUUCAUGGCAAUUGCAACUUUAGGAGUAGAUUCAGUUGUUAUUGAAAGAACAAAGGAGCUGGAGUGAACUUUCGUGCAUUUAGCAGAGAUAUUUAGUUGGAAUUUAUUGGAUAUUGACUUAAAAUCUGUGGUUUUAGCUUAGCAUCAGUCGCAAUUCAAAACAGAACAUAACAUGUUGUCUAUCAAAUAAAUCUUCCGAUGUUGCAUACUCAGGUCUUGAAUCUUAGGAUCUUCUGUUUAUCAAGGUUCUACUAAAAUUCAAUAAUGAAAAGGACAAAAAGAACUAUCAAAAGAAACUUGAAUGAAGUUCAUGAUCUCUGAAUCUCCACCUCUAAAGCUCUGCUGAAACCAUACUGCUAUCAGACUGACUAGUGGUUUAUUUGGUGUGCUUUGUUAGACAAACUUGUGAUCUGUUUUUGAAUUGUGUACCAUGGGAUUCCAGUCAUAAAUUCCUGUAUUAAUUUUGCAACAGAGAGAAAACUAUUGAUCCUGAGACUGAUGUAUUAUACGUCAUCAAAUACUUUUGCAGGUGGGGGCAAUCGCACUCUUGGCUUUGACAGGACUAUUAACUUUCAUGCUAUUCUUGUCUGUGGCCACAGCAAAUGCAGUUAUAAUAUCGCUCUUCGUGUCUUUCGCAGCAGCUGGUGGCUUCUUAGCAAUUUUCUUUGCGUGUGUAACUGCAAUUUACAUUGCAGUUCUAUCCAUUGCUGCAUUCGUGAUUUCCACUGUUACUCUGGUGACCAUAUUUGCAGUAUUUGUUGCCACAGGUAUAUAGCUUUUUAGUUGACAACAUCUCUCUCUCUCUCUCU